GGCCCCUUAGCUCAGUGGUUAGAGCAGGCGACUCAUAAUCGCUUGGUCGUUGGUUCAAACCCAACAGGGGCCACCA
rnacentral:tRNA from 964 species